rnacentral:rRNA from 1 species
AUGAGGAGUCACGCGCUCCAGCUCGUCGCGCGCGCGGUGCGCGCCUCCGCUCCCCGUCCCCAUCCCCAGCGCCAUCUCCAUCAGGUCGCCGCGCUGAGAGCGUCGACGGGUUUCUUCUCGACCGAAGCCGCCGCUGGCGCAUCUGCGGCUGCUACUGCCGGCGCGGCGCAGGGCGGGUCGAAGUCCGCUGCGGCUGCUGCCGCGUCUUCUGGCGCGGCGCAGGCCGCUUCGAAGCCCGCGGCGGUGGCGUCGGGCUCUGACGGCGGUGGCGGAGGGAGCGGGCGGGAUGGGAAGUCGCAGCAAGGGGACUCCGGCAAGUCUGUCCGAGGAGGGCCCGUCUCAUGGUUGAGUUUUCUUCUGCUUCUUGUGACCGGAGGAGGAAUCAUAGUGUACUACGACAAGGAGAAGAAGCGUCACAUUGAAGAGCUGAAGAACAGUACGAAUUCAGUGAAGCCAGCACAAUCAGUAGGAACUGCUGCUAUUGGCGGUCCAUUCACUCUUCUAAAUCAUGAUGGGAAAACUGUCACUGAAAAGGAUUUCUUGGGUAAAUGGACGCUGCUAUAUUUUGGUUUCACACACUGCCCUGACAUUUGUCCAGAUGAACUCCAGAAGAUGGCUGCUGCUAUUAACAAAAUCAAGGAAAAGGCAAAACUAGAAAUUGUGCCAGUAUUCAUCUCAGUUGAUCCUGAAAGAGACACUGUUGAGCAAGUCCAUGAUUAUGUUAAAGAGUUCCAUCAAGAUCUCAUAGGACUAACUGGUACCUCUGAUGAGGUGAGAAAGGUUGCUCGUGCUUAUCGAGUCUACUAUAUGAAGACAGAGGAGGAGGGUUCUGACUACCUUGUUGAUCAUUCAAUCGUCAUGUACCUGAUGAACCCGAAAAUGGAGUUUGUCAAAUUCUUCGGCAAGAACUACGACGAAGACACCCUUGCCGAGGGCAUCAUCAAAGAGGUCCGAGAGCACAAGAGGAGCUGA